CGGGUGAGUAACGCGUGGGGAAUCUGCCUUUGAGCGGGGGACAACAUUUGGAAACGAAUGCUAAUACCGCAUAAAAACUUUAAACACAAGUUUUAAGUUUGAAAGAUGCAAUUGCAUCACUCAAAGAUGAUCCCGCGUUGUAUUAGCUAGUUGGUGAGGUAAAAGCUCACCAAGGCGAUGAUACAUAGCCGACCUGAGAGGGUGAUCGGCCACAUUGGGACUGAGACACGGCCCAAACUCCUACGGAAGGCAGCAG
rnacentral:rRNA from 1 species